CUGAAACAGAACUAUGUUUUUAAUCUUACAGUAAUGGCUCUGUGUUUUUCCCUUUAGAUGACUCAGGGACUUCAAAGAAGAUGAAUUAAAGAUCUGGACAGAAAGGUGCUCCAAGGAUACUGGUGAAAACUACAGUAUGUGGAAGUAACAGGAGGCAUUUCUUUACCCAAACGGUUGUGGGAAUAUUAAACAAAAUACACAGCCAUAAUGUUAAAGCUGAAACUUUGGCUUCCUUUGACAGAAAUAGCUGGAUUAGAUCCUUGGAUUAAUAAACUACUUUUGUAACCUUU